rnacentral:rRNA from 1 species
GACGAACGCUGGCGGCGUGCCUAAUACAUGCAAGUAGAACGCUGAAGAGAGGAGCUUACUCUUCUUGGAUGAGUUGCGAACGGGUGAGUAACGCGUAGGUAACCUGCCUUGUAGCGGGGGAUAACUAUUGGAAACGAUAGCUAAUACCGCAUAACAAUGGAUGACACAUGUCAUUUAUUUGAAAGGGGCAAUUGCUCCACUACAAGAUGGACCUGCGUUGUAUUAGCUAGUAGGUGAGGUAAUGGCUCACCUAGGCGACGAUACAUAGCCGACCUGAGAGGGUGAUCGGCCACACUGGGACUGAGACACGGCCCAGACUCCUACGGGAGGCAGCAGUAGGGAAUCUUCGGCAAUGGGGGCAACCCUGACCGAGCAACGCCGCGUGAGGGAAGAAGGUUUUCGGAUCGUAAAGCUCUGUUGUAAGUCAAGAACGGGUGUGAGAGUGGAAAGUUCACACUGUGACGGUAGCUUACCAGAAAGGGACGGCUAACUACGUG